UACAGAGGGUGCGAGCGUUAAUCGGAUUUACUGGGCGUAAAGCGUGCGUAGGCGGCUUUUUAAGUCGGAUGUGAAAUCCCUGAGCUUAACUUAGGAAUUGCAUUCGAUACUGGGAAGCUAGAGUAUGGGAGAGGAUGGUAGAAUUCCAGGUGUAGCGGUGAAAUGCGUAGAGAUCUGGAGGAAUACCGAUGGCGAAGGCAGCCAUCUGGCCUAAUACUGACGCUGAGGUACGAAAGCAUGGGGAGCAAACAGGAUUAGAUACCCUGGUAGUCCAUGCCGUAAACGAUGUCUACUAGCCGUUGGGGCCUUUGAGGCUUUAGUGGCGCAGCUAACGCGAUAAGUAGACCGCCUGGGGAGUACGGUCGCAAGACUAAA
rnacentral:rRNA from 1 species